AAGCAGGGUGAUCCUAUGCUGCCAAGAAAAUCUUCUAGCGAGGUUCUAGCCGCCCGUACCCCAAACCGACUCAGGUGGUUAGGUAGAGAAUACCAAGGCGAUCGAGUGAAUCGUGGUUAAGGAAUUCGGCAAAAUACCCCCGUAACUUCGGGAGAAGGGGGGCCCAGAGGGUGAAGAAGACUUGCUCUUCUAGCCUGAACGGCCGCAGAGACCAGGGAGAAGCGACUGUUUACUAAAAACACAGGUCCGUGCCAAGUCGCAAGACGAUGUAUACGGACUGACGCCUGCCCGGUGCUGGAACGUUAAGGGGACCGGUUAGCCUCACGGCGAAGCUGAGAACUUAAGCGCCAGUAAACGGCGGUGGUAACUAUAACCAUCCUAAGGUAGCGAAAUUCCUUGUCGGGUAAGUUCCGACCUGCACGAAUGGCGUAACGACUUCUCCACUGUCUCAACCACGAACUCGGCGAAAUUGCACUACGAGUAAAGAUGCUCGUUACGCGCAGAAGGACGGAAAGACCCCGGGACCUUUACUACAGCUUGGUAUUGGUGUUCGGUACGGCUUGUGUAGGAUAGGUGGGAGACUGUGAAGCUGAUACGCCAGUAUCGGUGGAGUCAACGUUGAAAUACCACUCUGGUCGUUCUGGAUAUCUAACCUCGGUCCGUGAUCCGGAUCAGGGACAGUGCCUGGUGGGUAGUUUAACUGGGGCGGUUGCCUCCUAAAAGGUAACGGAGGCGCCCAAAGGUUCCCUCAGCCUGGUUGGCAAUCAGGUUUUGAGUGUAAGUGCACAAGGGAGCUUGACUGUGAGAGUGACAACUCGAACAGGGACGAAAGUCGGGACUAGUGAUCCGGCGGUGGCUUGUGGAAGCGCCGUCGCUCAACGGAUAAAAGGUACCCCGGGGAUAACAGGCUGAUCUUGCCCAAGAGUCCAUAUCGACGGCAUGGUUUGGCACCUCGAUGUCGGCUCGUCGCAUCCUGGGGCUGGAGUAGGUCCCAAGGGUUGGGCUGUUCGCCCAUUAAAGCGGUACGCGAGCUGGGUUUAGAACGUCGUGAGACAGUUCGGUCCCUAUCCUCUGCGCGCGCAGGAAACUUGAGAAGGGCUGUCCCUAGUACGAGAGGACCGGGAUGGACGAACCUCUGGUGUGUCAGUUGUUCUGCCAAGAGCACCGCUGAUUAGCUACGUUCGGAAGUGAUAACCGCUGAAAGCAUCUAAGCGGGAAGCAUGCUUCAAGAUGAGGUUUCCAUGGGGUUUACCCCGAGAGGCUCCCAGCUAGACUACUGGGUUGAUAGGCCGGAUGUGGAAGUGCGGUAACGCAU
rnacentral:rRNA from 1 species